UACGGGGGGGGGCAAGCGUUGUUCGGAAUUACUGGGCGUAAAGGGCUCGUAGGCGGCCAACUAAGUCGGAUGUGAAAUCCCUCGGCUCAACCGAGGAACUGCGUCCGAUACUGGAAGGCUUGAAUCCGGGAGAGGGAUGCGGAAUUCCAGGUGUAGCGGUGAAAUGCGUAGAUAUCAGGAGGAACACCGGUGGCGAAGGCGGGGUCUCUGGGCCGAUAUUGACGCUGAGGAGCGAAAGCGUGGGGGAGCGAACAGG
rnacentral:rRNA from 1 species